CAAACUUUUAGCACUUGAUGUUCCCAGAGUAUUUGUUCUCAGCUAUAGCUCAUUAAAUGAGCUGCUCCACUACUGAGUCUAUAAAUUGAAACAAAAGCAAAGAGCUCUUUUUUUUUUCUUUCUUCAAAGUAGAUGGCUCCAAACGGAAAUGCACUUAAGUCUGGGUUUGCUACAAGUUUUUCUUACACAUAGUGGGUAUUCGGCAGAAUAAAUGCAUGUCGUUAAUCCAGCCGUUUUUCAAUACCAAUCUGGUUGGGACAUCUCUGGGUUGGAGGCGUGGAACCAUGACUGUUAACUGGUAACUGGAUGAGGCUGAAGGGAGACCAUGCAAAAGGCUGGGAAGUUGAAGAUUGGACAGCCACAUCUGGUGGCUUCUGUGAGUGCCUCAUGCCGCAUCAGAACGUGGCAGAGAAACAAAAGGGGAAGCAGGGCCGGGCACGGUGGCUCACGUCUGCAAUCCCAGCACUUUGGGAGUAUGAGGCAGGUGGAUCCCCUGAGGUUGGGAGCUCAAGACCAGCCUGACCAACAUGGAGAAACCCUGUUUCUACUAAAAAUACAAAAUUAGCCAGGUGUGGUGGCGCAUUCCUGUGAUUCCAGCUACUCAGAAGACUGAGACAGGAAAAUCACUCAAACUUGGGAGGUGGAGGUUGUGGUGAGCCAAGAUCAUACCAUUGCACUCCAGCCUGGGCAACAAGAGGGAAACUCUGUCUCAAAAAAAAAGCGGGGGGUGGCAGAAAGCAGGUACUUGCCCAAAAGGGCAAACAUUAGAGGUUUGUAACAACCCGCAUUCUUGGUAACUAACCCAGUCCCUUGAGAGUGUGAACUCACUCUGGAGAGAAAGGGAUUGAGACCUCUUAGUGACCUAAUUGCCUUUUAAAGGCACCACCUCCCAAUACUGCUUCAUUGGAGACCAAGCCUCAAGAUGAGUUUUGUGGGGACAAAUCACAUUCAAACAAUAGGAAGGUCCAAACUAAAGCACUAACGUGGGCAAUAAUUAUCUUCCUCUAGUGGUGGAUAGAGGAAGAACUUCAUGUUUCUCAAGAGUUAUUAUCACUUGGCAGGGACAGUUGACAAGGGUUCCAUCUCUACCUUCCUGUGUGCCACUUUUCUCCCUGUAGUGGGAAGAUUUUCCACUGCCCAUGCAGAGUAUCAUUUGACAAAGUGUCCCCCAUUUUCCUUUUUUCUUUUCUGAGACAGGUUCUUGCUCUGUCAUCCAAACUGGAGUAUGUUGGCAUGAUCUUAGCAUACUGCAACCUCUACCCCACAGGCUCAAGCGAUCCUUCCACCUGAGCCUCCUGAGUAGCUGAUAACCACAAGCACAUACCACCAGAAUCAGCCAAUUAAAAAAUUUUUUUUGUAGAGACAAGUUCUCCCUAUGUUGCUCAGGCUGGUCUCGACUCUUGGGCUCAGUGAUUCACCCACCUUAGCCUCCCCAAGUGCUAAGAUUACAGGCUUGAGUCACUACAUCUGGCCUCUGAGCCAUCAUGUCAAGCCAUCCUUCUUUCCUCCCUACAACCCAUUGUGCAUUUUGUGAACCAGAUAAUGCCACUGUUCUGCUCUCAGCUAACAAGAACAGAUGGGCACAUAAUCCAAGGAGGAUCAGUCUACAGAUUGGCUAAGUAACCAGUGGCCUAUGAUCCAGGUUUUGGAUUGCAAACACGAGGAGAACUAAUUGGACUCUGAUCACAGGACAUGAGAAUCAGGAAACUGUUAAUGAAUCAUGAAGCAACUGAAGCUGAGGGCAAAGAUGGCACUAAAAAUGCUAUGAAAUUGUCAGAUUUGAAAAGGACACUAUAAGCCAAAGUUACAUGCCAGCUGAAAUUAUGAGGGAAAAGAGAAAGUCAUAUAGUAGACAAAAAAUGCAUCAGAUACACAGAGAGAAGUACAUACAUCUAGUGAGAUGAGGAUGAUGGCAGAGCUGCUUGCAAGAGCUGCCUUUCUGUCUGAGUCUUGCCAUGUCAAGGUUGCUCCAUGUAUUUCUUUACCAAUAAACCAUUUUGUUGAGUUAACUGGAAUAAGUCU
rnacentral:lncRNA from 13 species